rnacentral:rRNA from 1 species
CCCUUAGAUGUUCUGGGCCGCACGCGCGCUACAAUGAUGAAUUCAACGAGUUUAUAACCUUGGUUGAAAAGCCUGGGUAAUCUUUUGAACUUUCGUCGUGAUGGGGCUAGACCCUUGCAAUUAUUGGUCUCCAACGAGGAAUUCCUAGUAAACGCAAGUCAUCAGCUUGCAUUGAUUACGUCCCUGCCCUUUGUACACACCGCCCGUCGCACCUACCGAUUGAAUGGUCCGGUGAAAUCUUCGGAUUGAGACUUUGAUUUCUUCACGGAAAACGCUGUUUUAAAAAGUUGAUUAAGCCUUACCAUUUAGAGGAAGGUGAAGUCGUAACA